rnacentral:rRNA from 1 species
AACGAACGCUGGCGGCAUGCCUAACACAUGCAAGUCGAACGAUACCUUCGGGUCUAGUGGCGCACGGGUGCGUAACGCGUGGGAACCUGCCCUUAGGUUCGGAAUAACUCCCCGAAAGGGGUGCUAAUACCGGAUAAUGUCUUCGGACCAAAGAUUUAUCGCCUUUGGAUGGGCCCGCGUUGGAUUAGCUAGUUGGUAGGGUAAAAGCCUACCAAGGCGACGAUCCAUAGCUGGUCUGAGAGGAUGAUCAGCCACACUGGGACUGAGACACGGCCCAGACUCCUACGGGAGGCAGCAGUGGGGAAUAUUGGACAAUGGGCGAAAGACUGAUCCAGCAAUGCCGCGUGAGUGAUGAAGGCCUUAGGGUUGUAAAGCUCUUUUACCCGGGAUGAUAAUGACAGUACCGGGAGAAUAAGCUCCGGCUAACUACGUG